AGAAAACAACAGUGAUUCCCUGAGUAACGGCGAGUGAAAAGGGAGAAGCCCAGCACCGAAUCUCGUGCCCGUUGCAGCGGGUACGAGAAAUGUGGUGUUAGGGAAGAGCCAUUUUGCCCUGUGCUCGCGCCCGCCGGCGUCCAAGUCCGAUCGAAAACGGCGGCCUCUAGCCCGUAGAGGGUGCAAGGCCCGUGGGACCGGCGCGUGGCGUGCAGGAGCGGCUCUUCCCGUGGAGUCGGGUUGCUUGAAAGUGCAGCCCAAAGUGGGAGGUAAACUCCUCCUAAGGCUAAAUAUCACCGCAAAACCGAUAGUGAACAAGUACCGCGAGGGAAAGUUGAAAAGAACUCUGAAGAGAGAGUUCAAGAGUGCGUGAAACUGCUCAGGGGUAAACGGGUGGAACAGCCGAAGCUCGAACGGGGAGAUCUCAGGAUCUCUUGACCGGCGAGCCCGCGGGAUGCGACGGGCCGCGCGCUGGUCGCCUGCCUGUCGGGUGGUCGGCGCGCGGUUUCGACGCGUUUCGUGGCGCGCUCCCGGUCGGGAUCCGUAUGGCUCCCCUAGUAGGACGUUGCAACCUGUGGGGGCGUUGCAAAGACGGCGGUCGUGCGUUCUCGAGGCUGUGCUUCUCCUAGGUACAUUUGAACAUUGCGUCUCCUUGCGUUUCGGCGCGGGCGGCGCGAUGGGCAGGUUCGGGCGCGCGCGAUGGGGUUCGCCUCGUCGCGUCGUGCCCGAGGCCUCUUGAGAAACGUUUCGUCUGCCCCCCUACAGCGUUAGGACCUCGGCGCCUGCAUCGGGUCGACCUCGCGGUCCCCGGUGAGUUGGCGUGCUGGAAGCGGUGCCCGGGUGCGCGCAUCGGUUCGGAGUCUUCGGAUUCCCCGUGCGCGUAGUGUCCCUCGCGGGGCCCUCGGGUGCCGGUCUCUUUCCGGCGCGUUGGCAUCAGUGGCGCUUCGAAGUUUGCAACGACUAGGAUUGUGGUUCCUCCCGACCCGUCUUGAAACACGGACCAAGGAGUCUAACAUGUGCGCGAGUCUCUGGGCUUAAAACCCCACAGGCGUAGUGAAAGCGAAGGUCUGCUUCGGCAGGCUGAGGGGAGAUCCGUCCGUCGGUCUAAUGCCGCGGCGGCGCAUCCCCGGGGCGUCCGCGGUCGAGGCGCGCUCUCGGGCGCGACUCCGGCGGGCGCACCAAGAGCGCACACGUUGGGACCCGAAAGAUGGUGAUCUAUGCCCGGCCAGGACGAAGCCAGGGGAAACUCUGGUGGAGGUCCGCAGCGAUUCUGACGUGCAAAUCGAUCGUCUGAGCCGGGUAUAGGGGCGAAAGACUAAUCGAACCAUCUAGUAGCUGGUUCCGUCCGAAGUUUCCCUCAGGAUAGCUGGCACUCGCCUGGAGGAGUCUCAUCCGGUAAAGCGACUGAUUAGAGGCUUUGGGGUCGCAACGACCUCGACCUAUUCUCAAACUUUAAAUGGGUGAGAAGCAGGGCCUCCCUAAACUCGUCCGGUCGAGGCCCUGUUCUUCUUCUUCGGAUCCACGAGUGCCCAGUGGGCCAAUUUUGGUAAGCAGAACUGGCGCUGUGGGAUGAACCAAACGCCCGGUUAAGGUGCCCGAGUCGACGCGCAUCAGACACCAUUAAAGGCGUCGGUGGCUAAAGACAGCAGGACGGUGGCCAUGGAAGUCGGCACCCGCUAAGGAGUGUGUAACGACUCACCUGCCGAAGCGACCGGCCCUGAAAAUGGAUGGCGCUGCAGCGUCGCACCCAUACCCGGCCGCCGACCCAGAGAACGGGCCGAUCGGGUUCGUCCCGGUUGGCCUGCCCGACGGGUCGGCGAGUAGGACGGAGCGCGGCGGCGUGCGUCGAAGGGGACUGGGCGCGAGCCCGCCUGGAGCCGCCGCCGGUGCAGAUCUUGGUGGUAGUAGCAAAUACUCCGGAGAGGCCCCGGAGGACUGAGGCGGAGAAGGGUUUCGCGUGAACAGCUGUUGGACGCGAGUCAGUCGAUCCUAAGCCCUAGGGGAAACCCGAGAUGUAGAGGCGGCGGCGAGGCAAUUGUGACACUGCUUACGACCCACACACCGUCGCAUCAGGGGCGAAAGGGAAUCCGGCCAAAAUUCCGGAACCCGGCAGCGGAACCGAUGGCCCUUUGGGCUGCGGACCCCAGGCGGUGCGGGCUCGCGCUCGUGCCGCCAGGUUCGUCGCGGCAACGCGACAGGACACGGAGACGCCGGCGGGGGCCUCGGGAAGAGUUAUCUUUUCUCCAAAAGCGGCCGAGGCCCUGGAAACCUCUUGGAGGGAGAGAGGGUUUUGGCUUUCAUGCGAGGAGCGUCGCCAACACGGGGCGGCGUCCGGGGAACUCCCGCCUGGCCCUUGAAAAUCCGUGCGAGGGGAACGCGGAGGUGUCGCGCCGGAUCGUACCCAUAUCCGCAGCAGGUCUCCAAGGUGCACAGCCUCUAGUCGAUAGAUCAAUGUAGGUAAGGGAAGUCGGCAAACCAGAUCCGUACCUUCGGAAGAAGG
rnacentral:rRNA from 1 species